rnacentral:rRNA from 1 species
AGAGUUUGAUCCUGGCUCAGAUUGAACGCUGGCGGCAUGCUUUACACAUGCAAGUCGAACGGUAACAGGCCGCAAGGUGCUGACGAGUGGCGAACGGGUGAGUAAUGUAUCGGAACGUGCCCAGUCGUGGGGGAUAACGCAGCGAAAGCUGCGCUAAUACCGCAUACGAUCUAUGGAUGAAAGCGGGGGACCGUAAGGCCUCGCGCGAUUGGAGCGGCCGAUAUCAGAUUAGGUAGUUGGUGGGGUAAAGGCUCACCAAGCCAACGAUCUGUAGCUGGUCUGAGAGGACGACCAGCCACACUGGGACUGAGACACGGCCCAGACUCCUACGGGAGGCAGCAGUGGGGAAUUUUGGACAAUGGGCGCAAGCCUGAUCCAGCAAUGCCGCGUGCAGGAAGAAGGCCUUCGGGUUGUAAACUGCUUUUGUACGGAACGAAACGGUCCUGGUUAAUACCUGGGGCUAAUGACGGUACCGUAAGAAUAAGCACCGGCUAACUACGUGCCAGCAGCCGCGGUAAUACGUAGGGUGCAAGCGUUAAUCGGAAUUACUGGGCGUAAAGCGUGCGCAGGCGGUUUUGUAAGACAGGCGUGAAAUCCCCGGGCUUAACCUGGGAAUGGCGCUUGUGACUGCAAAGCUGGAGUGCGGCAGAGGGGGAUGGAAUUCCGCGUGUAGCAGUGAAAUGCGUAGAUAUGCGGAGGAACACCGAUGGCGAAGGCAAUCCCCUGGGCCUGCACUGACGCUCAUGCACGAAAGCGUGGG